rnacentral:lncRNA from 1 species
GGUAUGUGCACAUGAAUGUAGGUGCCCUAGGAGACCAAGUAUGUCAGAUCCCUUGGAGCUGGAGUUACAGGCCGUUGCUAGCCACCUGAUGUGUAUGCUGGGAAUCUAGCUCAGGUCCCCUGCAGAAGCAGUCUUCCCUCUGAACCACUGAGCCAUCCCUCCGGCCCUAGGAUGAAGUAUCUCUAUGUGGCUUUUCUAACAUCCUGAAACUGCUUCUGUGUUGUUUUUAACCAGAAAGCAGCAGCAAUGGAAAAAGAAGAAGAAGAAGGAGAAAGAAGAAGAUUUCCCCCCUGCAUAAAUGAGCUUUGCUGUUGUCAUGCUGGUGCUUGCUCUUCAAAGCAAAAAAGAAAGGCAGGAAGGCCAGGCAGGCAUGAUCAGGACAUCUGACAGCGCCAUGCAGACUCCAGGUUGGCUCAUCUUUCUGUCUGGUAGGCCUUAACUUUCUACAAUGAUUCUAUUCAAAAGUCAGAAUUAUAUGCUAUUGUCAUUCUAUUAUAAAAAUUUCCAGAACCUCUUAAGAUAGUUACUGACUCUCAAUAUGCAGAUUGAGUUGUUUACUUAUCGAAACAACUAAACUUAUUGCAGAUGAUUCAGAAUUAAUCAGAGGGCUGGAGAGGUGGCUCAGAGGUUAAGAGCAUUGGCAGCUCUUCCAGGGGUCCUGAGUUCAAAUCCCAGCAACCACAUGGUGGCUCACAGCCAUCUAUAAUGAGAUCUGAUUCCUUCUUCUGGCAUGCCGGCAGAACACUGUAUGCAUAAUAAAUAAAUAAAUCUUAAAAAAAAAAAGAAGUAAUCAGAGCUCGGCAAUGGACAUACCACUGCCAUUUUAGAAAGCUGAACUGGGUGUAGCCAGCAGCCAGCUGCUGCUUUAAUCUUAGCCAUGCUACUUAGCAGAUUAAAGACUCAAGUGGUGAGAAAAAGAGAUAUACAGUGAAGACAGAUUCAGAGAAACAAACCUUCUAAAUAGUAUACACUGUGUUUAAAAAUAUGGGAG